rnacentral:rRNA from 1 species
UACAGAGGGUGCAAGCGUUGUUCGGAAUUAUUGGGCGUGAAGCGCGUGUAGGCGGCUUAGCAAGUCGGGCGUGAAAGCCCUCGGCUCAACCGAGGAAGUGCACCCGAAACUGCUGAGCUUGAGUGCCGGAGAGGAUGGCGGAAUUCCCCAAGUAGAGGUGAAAUUCGUAGAUAUGGGGAGGAACACCGGUGGCGAAGGCGGCCAUCUGGACGGUAACUGACGCUGAGACGCGAAAGCGUGGGUAGCAAACAGG